rnacentral:rRNA from 1 species
AUUGAACGCUGGCGGCAGGCUUAACACAUGCAAGUCGAGCGGAGAUGAGGUGCUUGCACCUUAUCUUAGCGGCGGACGGGUGAGUAAUGCUUAGGAAUCUGCCUAUUAGUGGGGGACAACAUUCCGAAAGGAAUGCUAAUACCGCAUACGUCCUACGGGAGAAAGCAGGGGAUCUUCGGACCUUGCGCUAAUAGAUGAGCCUAAGUCGGAUUAGCUAGUUGGUGGGGUAAAGGCCUACCAAGGCGACGAUCUGUAGCGGGUCUGAGAGGAUGAUCCGCCACACUGGGACUGAGACACGGCCCAGAAUCCUACGGGAGGCAGGAGUGGGGAAUAUUGGACAAUGGGGGGAACCCUGAUCCAGCCAUGCCGCGUGUGUGAAGAAGGCCUUAUGGUUGUAAAGCACUUUAAGCGAGGAGGAGGCUACUGAGACUAAUACUCUUGGAUAGUGGACGUUACUCGCAGAAUAAGCACCGGCUAACUCUGUGCCAGCCGCCGCGGUAACAC